rnacentral:rRNA from 1 species
GGGUUGUGAGGUUAAGCGACUAAGCGUACACGGUGGAUGCCCUGGCAGUCAGAGGCGAUGAAGGACGUGCUAAUCUGCGAAAAGCGACGGCGAGGUGAUAUGAACCUUUGACCCGUCGAUGUCCGAAUGGGGAAACCCAGUGCAAUUCGUUGCACUAUCGUUAACUGAAUACAUAGGUUAACGAGGCGAACCGGGGGAACUGAAACAUCUAAGUACCCCGAGGAAAAGAAAUCAACCGAGAUUCCCCCAGUAGCGGCGAGCGAACGGGGAGCAGCCCGGAGUCUGAAUCAGCUUGUGUGUUAGUGGAAGCGUCUGGAAAGUCGCACGGUACAGGGUGACAGUCCCGUACACGAAAAUGCACAGGUUGUGAACUCGAAGAGUAGGGCGGGACACGUGGUAUCCUGUCUGAAUAUGGGGGGACCAUCCUCCAAGGCUAAAUACUCCUGACUGACCGAUAGUGAACCAGUACCGUGAGGGAAAGGCGAAAAGAACCCCGGCGAGGGGAGUGAAAAAGAACCUGAAACCGUGUACGUACAAGCAGUGGGAGCACCUUCGUGGUGUGACUGCGUACCUUUUGUAUAAUGGGUCAGCGACUUAUAUUCUGUAGCAAGGUUAACCGUAUAGGGGAGCCGCAGGGAAACCGAGUCUUAACUGGGCGUUAAGUUGCAGGGUAUAGACCCGAAACCCGGUGAUCUAGCCAUGGGCAGGUUGAAGGUUGGGUAACACUAACUGGAGGACCGAACCGACUAAUGUUGAAAAAUUAGCGGAUGACCUGUGGCUGGGGGUGAAAGGCCAAUCAAACCGGGAGAUAGCUGGUUCUCCCCGAAAGCUAUUUAGGUAGCGCCUCGUGAACUCAUCUUCGGGGGUAGAGCACUGUUUCGGCUAGGGGGCCAUCCCGGCUUACCAACCCGAUGCAAACUACGAAUACCGAAGAAUGUUAUCACGGGAGACACACGGCGGGUGCUAACGUCCGUCGUGAAGAGGGAAACAACCCAGACCGCCAGCUAAGGUCCCAAAGUCAUGGUUAAGUGGGAAACGAUGUGGGAAGGCACAGACAGCCAGGAUGUUGGCUUAGAAGCAGCCAUCAUUUAAAGAAAGCGUAAUAGCUCACUGGUCGAGUCGGCCUGCGCGGAAGAUGUAACGGGGCUAAACCAUGCACCGAAGCUGCGGCAGCGACGCUUAUGCGUUGUUGGGUAGGGGAGCGUUCUGUAAGCCGUUGAAGGUGGCCUGUGAGGGUUGCUGGAGGUAUCAGAAGUGCGAAUGCUGACAUAAGUAACGAUAAAGCGGGUGAAAAGCCCGCUCGCCGGAAGACCAAGGGUUCCUGUCCAACGUUAAUCGGGGCAGGGUGAGUCGACCCCUAAGGCGAGGCCGAAAGGCGUAGUCGAUGGGAAACAGGUUAAUAUUCCUGUACUUGGUGUUACUGCGAAGGGGGGACGGAGAAGGCUAUGUCAGCCGGGCGACGGUUGUCCCGGUUUAAGCGUGUAGGUGUGUGUUCCAGGCAAAUCCGGUUCACUUUAACACUGAGGCGUGAUGACGAGGCACUACGGUGCUGAAGUGAUAAAUGCCCUGCUUCCAGGAAAAGCCUCUAAGCAUCAGGUAACACGAAAUCGUACCCCAAACCGACACAGGUGGUCAGGUAGAGAAUACCAAGGCGCUUGAGAGAACUCGGGUGAAGGAACUAGGCAAAAUGGUGCCGUAACUUCGGGAGAAGGCACGCUGAUAUGUAGGUGAAGUCCCUGCGGACGGAGCUGAAAUCAGUCGAAGAUACCAGCUGGCUGCAACUGUUUAUUAAAAACACAGCACUGUGCAAACACGAAAGUGGACGUAUACGGUGUGACGCCUGCCCGGUGCCGGAAGGUUAAUUGAUGGGGUUAGCGGCAACGCGAAGCUCUUGAUCGAAGCCCCGGUAAACGGCGGCCGUAACUAUAACGGUCCUAAGGUAGCGAAAUUCCUUGUCGGGUAAGUUCCGACCUGCACGAAUGGCGUAAUGAUGGCCAGGCUGUCUCCACCCGAGACUCAGUGAAAUUGAACUCGCUGUGAAGAUGCAGUGUACCCGCGGCAAGACGGAAAGACCCCGUGAACCUUUACUAUAGCUUGACACUGAACACUGGUCCUUGAUGUGUAGGAUAGGUGGGAGGCUUUGAAGCGUGGACGCCAGUCUGCGUGGAGCCGUCCUUGAAAUACCACCCUUUAAUGGCUGGUGUUCUAACGUGGACCCGUAAUCCGGGUUGCGGACAGUGUCUGGUGGGUAGUUUGACUGGGGCGGUCUCCUCCCAAAGAGUAACGGAGGAGCACGAAGGUUAGCUAAUCCUGGUCGGACAUCAGGAGGUUAGUGCAAUGGCAUAAGCUAGCUUGACUGCGAGAGUGACGGCUCGAGCAGGUGCGAAAGCAGGUCAUAGUGAUCCGGUGGUUCUGAAUGGAAGGGCCAUCGCUCAACGGAUAAAAGGUACUCCGGGGAUAACAGGCUGAUACCGCCCAAGAGUUCAUAUCGACGGCGGUGUUUGGCACCUCGAUGUCGGCUCAUCACAUCCUGGGGCUGAAGUAGGUCCCAAGGGUAUGGCUGUUCGCCAUUUAAAGUGGUACGCGAGCUGGGUUUAGAACGUCGUGAGACAGUUCGGUCCCUAUCUGCCGUGGGCGCUGGAGAAUUGAGGGGGGCUGCUCCUAGUACGAGAGGACCGGAGUGGACGCAUCACUGGUGUUCGGGUUGUCAUGCCAAUGGCACUGCCCGGUAGCUAAAUGCGGAAGAGAUAAGUGCUGAAAGCAUCUAAGCACGAAACUUGCCCCGAGAUGAGUUCUCCCUGAGACUUUAAGUCUCCUGAAGGAACGUUGAAGACGACGACGUUGAUAGGCCGGGUGUGUAAGCGCAGCGAUGCGUUGAGCUAACCGGUACUAAUGAACCGUGAGGCUUAACCUUACAACGCCGAAGCUGUU